UUGAAAGGGAAACGAUUGAAGUCAGUCAUGCCGGUGGAAAAUCAGCUCAUGGGCUACUAUGAGUGCACUUUUUCGCAUGGCAGGUCAACAUUAGUUUUUGUUGGGUCAUAAUUAUUGUAGAAAGGUGACUCCUUCGGGAGUGUUAUAGACUACUUUAGAUGGCCUGAUAUAGACUAAGGAUUGCAGCGAAUGCCUUUAGGCUACAGUUCUUUCUCUGUAAGUCGUUAAUUGGUUGUCAGCUUGCUGACUUCUAGUUAAUUGGCUGACAGUAAGGUAGGAACUGAUAAAUUCGUUAAGGAUGU
rnacentral:rRNA from 1 species